rnacentral:rRNA from 1 species
CGGGUGAGUAACACGUGAGUAACCUGCCCCUGACUCUGGGAUAAGCCUGGGAAACUGGGUCUAAUACUGGAUAUGCACCGUAGACCGCAUGGUUUUUGGUGGAAAGAAUUUUGGUCAGGGAUGGACUCGCGGCCUAUCAGCUUGUUGGUGAGGUAAUGGCUCACCAAGGCGACGACGGGUAGCCGGCCUGAGAGGGUGACCGGCCACACUGGGACUGAGACACGGCCCAUACUCCUACGGGAGGCAGCAGUGGGGAAUAUUGCACAAUGGGCGAAAGCCUGAUGCAACGACGCCGCGUGAGGGAUGACGGCCUUCGGGUUGUAAACCUCUUUCAGUAGGGAAGAAGCGAAAGUGACGGUACCUGCAGAAGAAGCGCCGGCUAACUACGUGCCAGCAGCCGCGGUAAUACGUAGGGCGCAAGCGUUAUCCGGAAUUAUUGGGCGUAAAGAGCUCGUAGGCGGUUUGUCGCGUCUGCCGUGAAAGUCCGAGGCUCAACUUCAGAUCUGCGGUGGGUACGGGCAGACUAGAGUGAUGUAGGGGAGACUGGAAUUCCUGGUGUAGCGGUGAAAUGCGCAGAUAUCACGACGAACACCGAUGGCGAACGCAGGUCUCUGGGCAUCUACUGACGCUGAGGAGCGAAAGCAUGCCGAGCGAACACGAUUAGAUACCCUGGUAGUCCAUGCCGUAAACGUUGGGCACUACGUGUGGGGGACAU